UACGGGGGGGGCAAGCGUUGUUCGGAAUUACUGGGCGUAAAGGGCUCGUAGGCGGCCUGCUAAGUCGGACGUGAAAUCCCUCGGCUCAACCGGGGAACUGCGUCCGAUACUGGCGAGGCUUGAAUCCGGGAGAGGGAUGUGGAAUUCCAGGUGUAGCGGUGAAAUGCGCAGAUAUCAGGAAGAACACCCGUGGCGAAGGCGGCUCUCUGGGACGGUACUGACGCUGAGACGCGAAAGCGUGGGGAGCGAACAGG
rnacentral:rRNA from 1 species